GCGCUGCAGCUCGGAGGGCUCUUCUGUCCCAUUCCACACGCUCCCCGGAUGUGCCCGGGAGGCCAGUCAGGAGGAACAUUGCACCUCUGCUAGACAGUCUGCAGCAGGGUCCGCUUCUCUGAGUGUGUGUCCUUACGCAUGGCCUGAAGAUACCAGCAGUGGUCUGGAGGUUUCUCAGCUGGCUAAGGAAUGUAGAUGGACCCGAGCCGCUCUGAGUUACAGCCCUGGGAACUGGAGAGGACAGUAAAUUACUCAGGCUGCCCCUGGCCAGGGACCGGGGUUAGGGUUCGGGUAGUUAGUCCUGCAGCAAGGGGUUGCUUAGUGGCCGAAGAUUGAUGAGGGCUCGGAGGAGCUGGUUAUUCGAUCCGCAGGAAAUGUUUCUGGGCCCGGGUCACAGCAGCCAGCAUUGGAAGCAGCAAAGCAGCCCCUCUGGGGCCCAAGGUGCAGUCCUGUGUGCCAGGGAGAGCAGCGGGGCUCCCGGGAGCCAUGACAAAAGGACGGUGACAGCUAGGCCUCAGGGGCUUGAUGGGGCCGGCUCUGCAUCACCCAGCCUAUCACGGUCUCUCCAGAGAGUGGCCGGCACAAUCAGGGGUCCCCAAAGCCUUUCCACCCACCCGUGUCCUCUCAACAAAUAAAACGCGACAGGUUCUC